rnacentral:lncRNA from 1 species
CUGAUUGUUAAAUUUUAAAGCAUCCCAAAGUUUGGUUUCACACUUGAAUGAAUACCAUUUGCAAGAUUAUUGCCACAAAUCCAGACACAUCUGUAUUCAAAGGAAGAAGCAGAGAAGAUUGGGGUCAGCCACAUGAGUUUCUUUUAUGAAGAAAAGCGUUCACUGACUUCCUUCAGGUCUCGUUGGUCAGAACUGGGUCCAGUGGCUGUCAAUAGCUGCAAAGGAGGCUGUGAAGCAGGGGAUAGGGUUUUUAUGUUUGGUUUAGACCAAGGUUUCUCUAACUCAGCACUAUUGACUGACGUAUUGGCCUGGAGAAUUCUUUGCUUGGGGCUGUCCCGUGCAUUGUAGGAUGCUUAGCAGCAUCCCUGGCCUCUAUCCCGUGGACCUCAGUCAUCCUUAGUUGUGACAACCCAGAAAGUCUCCAGACAUUUUCUAAGUUCCCUGGGAGGCAAAAUUU